CCUACGGGAGGCAGCAGUGAGGAAUAUUGGUCAAUGGACGAGAGCCUGAACCAGCCAAGUAGCGUGAAGGAUGACUGCCCUACGGGUUGUAAACUUCUUUUAUCAAGGAAUAAAGUGAGGCACGUGUGCCUUUUUGUAUGUACUUUAUGAAUAAGGAUCGGCUAACUCCGUGCCAGCAGCCGCGGUAAUACGGAGGAUCCGAGCGUUAUCCGGAUUUAUUGGGUUUAAAGGGAGCGUAGAUGGGUUGUUAAGUCAGUUGUGAAAGUUUGCGGCUCAACCGUAAAAUUGCAAUUGAUACUGGCAGUCUUGAGUACAGUUGAGGUAGGCGGAAUUCGUGGUGUAGCGGUGAAAUGCUUAGAUAUCACGAAGAACCCCGAUUGCGAAGGCAGCCUACUAAACUGUGACUGACAUUGAUGCUCGAAAGUGUGGGUAUCAAACAGGAUUAGAUACCCCUGUAGUC
rnacentral:rRNA from 1 species